UGGCCCUGAAGGGAGAGGAUGACAAGAGAAGGCGAUUCCUACAGCAAGCACUGGAGAAGGCCAAAGACCAGGCCAAUAGCCUGAGGUAGUCUGAAUAAGAAUCCAGCCUAUGGAGAACCAGAUUGGGGAAGGACUCCAGGAACAAAGCCCUGAGGGUCAAUGGCUCAGCACAGAGAUCCUAUUGCCUUUCCCAAACCUUGCAGCUGAUGGAUUCUGUGACCUGCUUCCAAUUCUUCCACUGUAACAGCCAAUCCGUUUUCCACCAGAAGCCAGCCUCAUUUGGAAACAAAUUUAACCCCUUCCAUGGACCUCUGCUUUAUGCAAUGACCCAGGAUGUACUACAGUCUUAGCAUCACACCUACCACAGAACUCUGUUUGGAACUGGUCUUAGAGGAGAAAAGCGCAAGGAGAACGGUCAAGGAGGACUAAAGGGGCCAGCAGAAGGCGAGCUCGGGGCUUGGAGAUCCAGGAAGGAAAAGGAGGGAAGGCAAGCCUGAGCUGGGGACUGGAGCGGGGAGAAGCCCGGAGAUGGAGAAAGGGGGCAGGCUAGAACGAGCUCGGAAUUGGAAAGGUGGUUAGUAGCUCAGCAGUGCAGCACCUGUAGCCCAGGGCG